AUCCAGCUGACGAGCCCCAAACAGGACGGAACGCGCGUCCUGGAU
rfam:Schistosoma curassoni strain Dakar, Senegal genome assembly, scaffold: SCTD_contig0001544